ACGCUUCUUUUUUAUUACUUUAUGAUUCAGAAUUUUGUAAUGCCUAUUAGAGAUGUAACGGAUGUGUCUCCUGUUGCUGUGUGUGCGCGUGCUUUUGUGAUGUUAUGUUAAUGUGCUUCAGAUGUCUUCGUCAGUAGCUGCUUUAGGUAUAAUAAAUAGAAAAAAAAGACAGAUCAGGUCCCCUUUAUUUGAUUACCCACGAACAUUUUGGCGCCCAACGUGGGGCCUGAUCUAAUGGAAAAGCAGCUAAGAAGAUCGAAAGGAAUCAGUAACCAGAAAGAUGGUCUCUCAUCCAGUCUCUUAGAUCCAAAUUUUGGAAAAGAUGGAGUCAAGAAUAUCUCAACUCCUUGCAGUCUCGAGCUAAAUGGAAACUACCUGAACUGAACAUCAAACCCGGACAGCUGGUACUCCUGAAGGAUAAUAGCAAGAGCCCCAUGGAAUGGAACUUGGCCCGAAUUGAAAGGACAUAUCCUGGAACAGAUGGACUAGUCCGUGUCGCAGACAUCAGAACCCCUAAAGGAAUUUUUCGGCGAAGUAUCAACAGACUCUGCCCACUCCCUUUCGAAGAAGGUGUUGGACAACUGUCCAACGGGGGCCGGGAUGUUCCGUCUUAGAGACGCCUUUCCCCUAUUCCAGCUGUAGUCAUCAGGAAAC